AUAGGACGUGCGGUUCUAUUUUGUUGGUUUUUGGAAUCGCCGUAAUGAUUAAUAGGGACAGUCGGGGGCAUUAGUACUCACAUGCUAGAGGUGAAAUUCUUGGAUUUUGUGAAGACUAACUUCUGCGAAAGCAUUUGCCAAGGAUGUUUUCAUUAAUCAAGAACGAAGGUUAGGGUAUCGAAAACGAUUAGAUACCGUUGUAGUCUUAACAGUAAACUAUGCCGACUAGGGAUCGGGCGAUG
rnacentral:rRNA from 1 species